rnacentral:RNase_P_RNA from 1 species
UGAGUUGGCCGGGUGAUCGCGGCUUCCCGAACCGGCGGCGGGCGCCGUUAGGCGGGGGUCGAGGAAAGUCCGGACUCCACAGGGCACGGUGAUUGCUAACGGCAACCCAGGGCGACCUGCGGGAAAGUGCAACAGAAAGUAGACCGCCCGGGCAUGUCCCGGGUAAGGGUGAAAGGGUGCGGUAAGAGCGCACCGGCAUCGCUGGUGACAGCGGUGGCCAGGUAAACCCCACCGGGAGCAAGGCAUGACAGGCCGCAGCGAUGCGGUCCGGUUCAGGCGUCACGGGCUGCCCGCCCAGCCUGAAGGUAGCUGCUUGAGGCGCCCAGCGAUGGUGCGUCCAGAUGGAUGAUCGCCCCCUGAAGGGACAGAAUCCGGCUUAUAGGCUGACUCAUCCG